GUAGAAGCAGCAGCCUGAUCCCCGCCUCUGUCUGCAGAGUUCAGGGCCCCCCAGGGGCCUGCGGACCCCGCCCGGGAGGAUGCUCUGUGGGGGUCACUACAGAACAGGCCAGCUGUUCUCAGCACCGCCACCUGUGAAGCCGCCCUGCCGAGCACACCUUCCCCCGGUGACAGGCACGCGUUGUGCCUCUACUGUGGUCCCGGCAGCUGACACGGGUGUGAAGACAUCUUGCCUCCUGUGCUAAUUUUGUGCAGUAACCUUUCAGCAUGGGACCAAGGACACUCCUCUCAAGGCCUGGAGCCGGAGGGAGCACCUUCCUUUCCCAGAAGAGGGCUCCGUGGUGGUCAAGUCUUGAUAUUGCCCAGAAGGCACCAGACACCCCCAGCUGCCCUUGACCCGGCCGGGCUGAGCCCGACAGACGUGGCCCAGCAUGGCCCGACAGAGCUGUGAGUCAUCAGGGCUUCUGAAGCCCAGCCCAGCAGGGGCCAGCCCCCUACUACCACCAUCUCCCACCCUGAAAGCCAUAACCAGCCUCUGUGUCCAAGCGUCCUGUGGUCGCCCACCAGGCAGAGACCCUGGAAUCCCGGGGGGUCCUCCCCGGCUCUAGGGGUGCAGGGGCAGGUAGCAGGUGCACGCCCCCUCCUGGCCUGCCGGCUCGCAAUGCGCACAAUGGCCAGCAGAGGGCACCACAGGCCGUCGCCGAGGGUGGGCCUGGUGUGGUCUCGCCGCCGGCCAGGCGCCCCUUGCACGCCCCUGACCC
ensembl:lncRNA